CGUGGACAGGACACCGGGCUGCGCUCGCGUCCGCUCAGCCGGCCGCCCCGGUGCCCCGCGUGCGUCGCUCUUCUGUCCCAUGUCAGACGGUGCCCUUGGUGUUUCCCUUCUGCACAAGCAGCAGGUUUCCUGACGUGUAGACCAGGUAGCGUCCUCUCAUCCCACGGUGCCAUUGGUAGUUGUGUGAAAACCCAACGAGCAUGGGGACGCCCUGUCUUGUGCCUCUUCUGUCCACCUGCCCAGAAUGCCCCGCGAAGGCACGAGUCCUCUGAGAAGCAGAGCAGCUGGACGAGGGGAGAGUGUGUCCUUGAUGAUGCCGAGAGGCUGAAACCUUGACAUUUUCCUGCGGUCGAGUUGUCUCCCCGUUUCCAGAGGUGGUGCGUCCACAGGGCCGGCGUGGGGUGUUCUGGGCACACCCGCCGCCUAAGGACGCCCCUCCCCUGCCCGUGGUGGGGGGUCCGGGAGGAUCGUGGCAGGUGAUCG
rnacentral:lncRNA from 1 species